rnacentral:rRNA from 1 species
AGCGUUGCUCGGAAUUACUGGGCGUAAAGCGCACGUAGGCGGAUUGUUAAGUCGGGGGUGAAAUCCUGGAGCUCAACUCCAGAACUGCCUUCGAUACUGGCGAUCUCGAGUUCGGGAGAGGUGAGUGGAACUGCGAGUGUAGAGGUGAAAUUCGUAGAUAUUCGGAAGAACACCAGUGGCGAAGGCGACUCACUGGACACGUAUUGACGCUGAGGUGCGAAAGCGUGGGGAGCAAACAGG